UACAGAGGGUGCGAGCGUUAAUCGGAAUUACUGGGCGUAAAGCGUGCGUAGACGGUUAUUUAAGUCGGGCGUGAAAGCCCCAGGCUCAACCUGGGAACUGCACUCGAAACUGCGUUUCUUGAGUAUCGGAGAGGAAAGCGGAAUACCUGGUGUAGAGGUGAAAUUCGUAGAUAUCAGGUGGAACACCAGUGGCGAAGGCGGCUUUCUGGACGAUUACUGACGCUGAGACGCGAAAGCGUGGGGAGCAAACAGG
rnacentral:rRNA from 1 species